AGUGAACGCUGGCGGCAGGCCUAACACAUGCAAGUCGAGCGGCAGCGGGUCCUUCGGGAUGCCGGCGAGCGGCGGACGGGGGAGGAAUGCAUCGGAAUCUGCCCUGUCGUGGGGGAUAAUCACGGGAAACAUAGGCUAAUACCGCAUACGACCAGCUGGUGAAAGCGGGGGAUCGCAGGAACUCGCGCGAUAGGAUGAGCCGAUGUCCGAUUAGCUAGUUGGCGGGGUAAAGGCUGACCAAGGCGACUAUCGGUGGCUGGUCGGAGAGGCUGAUCAGCCACAUUGGAGCUUGGACACGGCCCAGGCUCCUACGGGAGGGAGCAGAGUGGUACGUUGGGCAGUGGGCGCAAGCCUUGUCCAGUCGUGCGGAGUGGGUGACAGAGGCGUUGGGUUUGUGAAGCCGGUUUGUCGGUUGUAAAAUCGUUUGGGCUAAUACCCCGCGCGGGUGACGGUAACGGAUGAAGAAGCACCGGCUAACUUCGUG
rnacentral:rRNA from 1 species